rnacentral:rRNA from 1 species
GACGGGGGGGGCAAGUGGUUCUUCGGAAUGACUGGGCGUAAAGGGCACGGUAGGCGGUGAAUCGGGUUGAAAGUGAAAGUCGCCAAAAAGUGGCGGAAUGCUCUCGAAACCAAUUCACUUGAGUGAGACAGAGGAGAGUGGAAUUUCGUGUGUAGGGGUGAAAUCCGUAAAUAUACGGAAGGAACGCCAAAAGCGAAGGCAGCUCGUACUG